rnacentral:rRNA from 1 species
UUCUUCUAAAUGGCUGCAGUAUUUUGACUGUGCAAAGGUAGCAUAGUAAUUAGUUUCUUAAUUAGGAUCUAGAAUGAAUGGAAUUAUGAGAUAUUAUUUAUAUUAAUUUUAUAAUUAAAAUUUAAAUUUUGAGUAAAAAUGCUCAGUUUUUUUCUUGGGACGAUAAGACCCUAUAGAGCUUUAUUCAUUAUAUUAAAUAAAUUUUUAAUUAAUUUUUUCAUUUAAUUAUUAUGUUUUUUGCUGGGGUGGUAAUUAAAUUUUAUCUUUAAUUUUUUUUUUCAUUAAUUUAUGUAAAUUAAGAUCUUUAAAUUGGAUUAUAAGAUAUAGUUACCUUAGGGAUAACAGCGUAAUUUUAAUGGGGAGUUCACAUUUAUAUUAAAUUUUGCGACCUCGAUGUUGAAUUAAGGAUCUAUUAAGAAGCAG